CUCCUGUUCCCAAAUGGACUGUGAGGAGACACAGGACCAUCAUCUUUCAUUCAAGUUGGGGGAGGGGCGAAAAGCCCUCUAUCCCUAACCUUGGAUAGUUCCCAGCCCUGGUGGCCUUGGAUUCUAGUCCAUCAACUGUUUCAGCACCUGGAAGGCCAGCAGCUCCUGCCGAAGAUCAUCCCCGCACUUGACAAUGACUGACAGGAGCCGCCAAUUGGGGAGAUGGCCAUAGGGAGAGCCCUCUCUGAUCCGCCUGCAUAAAGAGAAGCAAAAGGUGUCAAGAGGUGAUGACAGAGACACAGCUUCUACCAAAAAUCCAAAUCCAACUCCCCACAAGGCAAGGACUGGGGCUGCCUGGGGGCAUGAUGGAUUUGGGGGGAGCCCAGUGGACACUGGGAUGGUGCAGUGAGUUCCUGCAGUUGUCUCCAAGCUUUGAGAGGUCUAGAGACACCUGCCUCCCACCCAACUCACCGCACUUUCUCCUGCCAGGGCUCUUUGAGAGCAACUGCAGAAGGGUCUUCUGGGUCUCGUUUGAAGGCUGUGGGGGUGUGAGCCAGCUGCUCCGAAAGGCGCCGUCUAGCAGGAAGAAAUGGUAUCAUUUGCUUGGAGGAGUUACCCCAGAGCCUCAUGUCCCUGUCUGUGGCAGCACUGCCUGCACUAUUUCCUUGAUUCUAGGCACAGAGAGAAACCUGGGCUGAGAGACUCGUGGAGGACACAUGCCACUGAUACCUUUUUGCUAACCUGAUGGUUUGGAAUCAUGAUGAUCACCAGGCCCUCCCAUUCCUCUACCAAGAUUCUGGUUCAAAACAGCUGUGGCUCCAGCAUCUGCAUUUUCAACAAGAUCUCUACCGAUUCUGACAUGUGAAUCCUUGGACCCACUCUGAGAAACGCUGCUUUAAUUCCUCCCUCUGCUGCUUUCAUCUCUUUGGAGUCCUUUUAACAUUUAAUUUCUUUCUGUAGUAGCCUAGUAAUUUCUCCACCUGCCCCUUCACUGCCUCAAGUUUGGUGGCCUCAGAACAAGGACAGAGUAAAGAGAGAGGAAAGGGAAAGACACAGGCUGACAGAAGAGGAGAAAGAGACAGGCAGAGCCUUAAAGAGGGAUGAAAAAUGAGAGGCAGUGUGGUCUGGCCAUACCGGAUGUCCCCUGCUGCAAUGAACACAGGCUCCUUGCUCUCCUGGCUGGUGAUGCUGUCCACAGAGAACUGGGAGAUGUUGUCACAGCUGUUGGUGUGCACUUCAGGGAGCUGGGGAGAGCAGGGGAUGGUAGGUCAGAAGCACUAGGCACAGGUCUCGCUUCUUUCACCUCCUCCACAGAUCACCUGGAGUGUUUUCUAUCUGCAGAUUAUGAUCAUCCCCCUCUUCCUAAGUCUGCUC